CUUCCAGUAGCACCUUAGAGACCAACUAAGUUUGUUAUUGGUAUGAGCUUUCGUGUGCAUGCACACUUUUUCAGAUACGAAAGCUCAUAUCAAUAACAUACUUAGUUGGUCUCUAAGGUGCUACUGGAAG